UACGAAGGGGGCUAGCGUUGUUCGGAAUCACUGGGCGUAAAGGGCGCGUAGGCGGCCACUGCAAGUCGGUUGUGAAAUCUCCGGGCUUAACCCGGAAAGGUCAAUCGAUACUGCAGGGCUAGAGUGCAGAAGGGGCAACUGGAAUUCUCGGUGUAGCGGUGAAAUGCGUAGAUAUCGAGAGGAACACCUGCGGCGAAGGCGGGUUGCUGGGCUGACACUGACGCUGAAGCGCGAAAGCUAGGGGAGCGAACGGG
rnacentral:rRNA from 1 species